rnacentral:rRNA from 1 species
GAGGAAGUAAAAGUCGUAACAAGGUUUCCGUAGGUGAACCUGCGGAAGGAUCAUUACCGAGAGAAGGGGUCGUUCUGGCCCCGCCUCCUCACCCGUGCUCAUUAUCUGUGUUGCUUUGGCGGGCCUUCGGGCUCGUCCGGCGCUGGUCCUAGGCGCCCCGCUCUUGCCAGCGGGUGCCCCGAGGCCUGGCGAGCGCCUGCCAAAGAAUUUCUACCACACCCGUGUUCCAGUCUGUCUGAGCGAACCACGCAAUCGAAAAAAACUUUCAACAACGGAUCUCUUGGUUCUGGCAUCGAUGAAGAACGCAGCGAAAUGCGAUAAGUAAUGUGAAUUGCAGAAUUCAGUGAAUCAUCGAAUCUUUGAACGCACAUUGCGCCCUCUGGUAUUCCGGGGGGCAUGCCUGUUCGAGCGUCAUUGCAACCUCAAGCCCUGCUUGGUCUUGGGCCUCGUCCCGCGCGGCGUGCCCGAAAUGCUGUGGCGGUCCCCGAAGAAUCCGAGCGUAGAAAGAUUUUCAAUCCUGCUCCGGACCUCUCUUGCGGGCGACCUGCCAGAAUGACAUCUGUUUACCAUCAUUGACCUCGGAUCAGGUAGGGAUACCCGGUGAACUUAAGCAUAC